rnacentral:lncRNA from 1 species
AUUAAAUAUUAUUAAAUAUUAUUAAUUAUAAAUAAUAAUAGAAAAUAUUUACUUUUAUUUUAUAAUAUAUUUAAUAUAUUUUAUUUUAUUUAUAACCAUUUUACAGAACCCCAGACCAAAGCAAACUCCGUGAUUCUUUUCCCUUCAUUCCUUUCUCUCCCUUUAUUUAUUUCCCUUUAUUCCUUUCUCUCCAUUCCUUUCUCUCCCUUUAUUCUUUCCCUUUAUUCCUUUCCCUCCAUUCCUUUCUUUCCCUUUAUUCCUUUCCCUCCAUUUCUUUCUCUCCAUUCCUUUCUCUCUCUAUUUCUUUCGCUUUCCAGCUGCAGAGUCGGAGCCGGAGGAUCAGGAACUGAAUCCCAAAGGGAGAGGCCCCGUGGCUGUUUUGCCGAUAACGCACUGGGAAAGGCUCUUCCCUUUUCCCGCUUUUCCGUAAAUUCCCGAAUUUCCCGCGGAUAACGGGGCAGCUGUGGCAGCAAGGAGACCCCUCAAGAUCCCGAAAGGAGAGCGCAAUUCCUUGGAGCAGCACUCCAAUAAAUAAUUAUAAUAUCAUAUCAUAUCAGGCUGGGAACUGCCCUGCGUUCCGCCUUCUUCCCGUGGAAUGGAGAUUCCUCCUUUUCUGGAGUUUAUCCCAAAAACACCCAAACGUUCUCCUGGGAAUGCCGGCGGUGAGGUCUGGAGCCUCCUGCCCUGGAGGUGUCCAGGGAAUUCCUGGAUGUGGCACCCAGGUGGGGACUGGGAACAGCUUGGACUGACCUUGGAGGGCUUUUCCGACCUCAGGGAUUCCGGAAUUCCAUUUUCCAAGCGCUGCUCUCCCUUCUCCGGAUUUUUCACCCUGGUGAAGAUCUGAGCUGAAGGAAAUGAAACUCUUCGAAAUCAGGACGAUCCCAGCCAGGAAUCCAUGAAUUUUCAGGAUUUUGGAUGUCCAGGAGGAAAUCUUGACAGGAUGUUGAGUCACAAUCUUGGAAUUUUUAUUUAAAACCUGAUUAAAAUGGAAAUAUUUCCUGGAAUGCAGCAGAGGUGAAGAUCUGAGCUGAAGGAAAGGAAACUCUUCCAAAUCUGGACAAUCGCGGUCGGGAAUCCAUGAAUUUUCAGGAUUUUGGAUGUGCAGGAGGAAAUCUAGAUGG